UACGUAGGGUCCGAGCGUUUGUCCGGAAUUACUGGGCGUAAAGAGCUCGUAGGUGGUUUGUCGCGUUGUUCGUGAAAACUCACAGCUUAACUGUGGGCGUGCGGGCGAUACGGGCAGACUUGAGUACUGCAGGGGAGACUGGAAUUCCUGGUGUAGCGGUGGAAUGCGCAGAUAUCAGGAGGAACACCGGUGGCGAAGGCAGGUCACUGGGCCGCAACUGACGCUGAGGAGCGAAAGCAUGGGGAGCGAACAGG
rnacentral:rRNA from 1 species